CAAACGAAAAAAAAGCACCAACACCAAAAAUGAGUGAGGGACAAAAUUUAAUGACCACCUUCUUGAUUUUGUUCUUUUUGUUGCUCGUCUUGUGGAUGCUUUACGCAAUGUUCUAAAUCAGAGGAUUAACACCCCCCACCAACUGCCAGGCAUUGAUGAGGAAAUCACCCACAAAUAUGUUGACUAAAUAAAUAAAUAACCGUUGUUAAUUAAUUUCCAUUCAAAUAAUCACCCACCCAAAAACAAAAUCAAAAUGAGUGAGGCCCACAACUUGAUGACCACCUUCCUCAUCCUUGCCUUCUUGUUGACCAUCAUGUACGUCCUCUACGAAGUCGUUUUCUAAAUUCAAUCCCAAGACCCAAUAUGAAUCCUGAUUACAUCGCAUAAUUAUCACUGGCGUCGUCGAGUUGUGUUGUUAUGAUUAAUGGCAUUUACGUCGUCGUCGCCGUUGCUAAUCAUCGCCCCCUCAUCACCAUGAAGACCCCCACCCAUCCAUCAUUCUCGUUUGUACUUAAAAACCGUUGCCUUUUCUAUUAAGAAGAAAAUCGAAAUUCCAAAAUUAAGAUGCAGUACUUUAAGCAGCUAGUAUCUAAAAGGAUAAAUUUAUAUUAUUUUUCGUCAUAGUUCAAUAAGGAUAACAAAAGUUGACGUCAUGUAACCGCAUAUCAUCUACAGCAGCAGCUCUUUGGCGGUCUCUUUCCUUUUUUUUUUGGGUGCCACCCACAAAGGAUUAUGUCAACUUUUGUAUUUUCUUUUUUUUUUCAAUUUUUUAUUAUUAAAAAUAAUAAUUAUUGUUUAUAAGUAACUUAACAUUUUUACUGUAGCUUUUGACUUUUGUUAAAGUCGCACUUCUUUUUGUUUCUAAUUUACUAGUCACUAGUAUUAACAUUUAUAUAUUUUACAUUUAUGUAUAUUUUUUAUGAAAAACCCAAAAGAACAAGACCAUCUUUUCAACAAUCGGAAACCAGGAACUGUAAUUUUGUUUUAGCAUCAAUUUCGUUGAAAAGUGUUCGAAGUGAAAAUGUCAUCUCCUCACCCUGGAAAGAAUAAAAUUUUCUGAAAAACAAA